CCCGUGUGUCGUCGUUCGCGACGUCUCGAGAGUAGUUUGACUCGUGCUCGAGACACGCUGGCGGCGUGCUUAACACAUGCAAGUCGAACGGAAAGGCCCUGCUUUUGUGGGGUGCUCGAGUGGCGAACGGGUGAGUAACACGUGAGUAACCUGCCCUUGACUUUGGGAUAACUUCAGGAAACUGGGGCUAAUACCGGAUAGGAGCUCCUGCUGCAUGGUGGGGGUUGGAAAGUUUCGGCGGUUGGGGAUGGACUCGCGGCUUAUCAGCUUGUUGGUGGGGUAGUGGCUUACCAAGGCUUUGACGGGUAGCCGGCCUGAGAGGGUGACCGGCCACAUUGGGACUGAGAUACGGCCCAGACUCCUACGGGAGGCAGCAGUGGGGAAUAUUGCACAAUGGGCGGAAGCCUGAUGCAGCAACGCCGCGUGCGGGAUGACGGCCUUCGGGUUGUAAACCGCUUGCGCCUGUGACGAAGCGUGAGUGACGGUAAUGGGUAAAGAAGCACCGGCUAACUACGUG
rnacentral:rRNA from 1 species